UUAAACCCUCCAUAACUCUCUUUCUCUCUCCUAGGUCUUCGACACUUCGGCAUCCCUAACCCUCCUUCUUCCCUCCCGUUUUCUCUCUCCUUCCUCUUCGAUCUUCUUCCUCCCAUCCUCUUCCCCAUACCCCAUUCUCUAUUCUAAACGAUGGUGAUCCGCCUCUCGCCGUCUCCAUCACCAUCAGCGUCUGAUCUUCUGGAGAUCCGUUUCUUUCGAUUUCAAUUUUUUAAGAUUUGGGGAAGAAAUCGAGUUCCAAAUCACGCUCUUUCUCUCUCUCAGCUCCAAUGAUUGAAGAUCGAUUUCAAAUUUGUAAUAUUUGGGGUUUAAUCUUGCAAAGAGUUGUCCAGUCUGAAAGAUUUGGAAAAUGCUUGCUUGAAUUGAGUGGAAAUAAUGCCAUAAUUGUCAUGGAUGAUGCUGACAUUAAGCUGGUUAUUCGUUCUGUUGUCUUUGCGGCUAUUGGUACAACUGGUCAGAGCUGUACAACCUGCCGUAGGCUGGUAAUUACAUGCUGCUUCAUGAAAGCGUAUAUGGGAAGGUGAUUGAGCAAUUGCUUGAUGUCUACAAACAAGUGAAGAUAGGGGAAGAAGGGAAUUGAUUCUUAUAUGACAAGUGCAGCUCAUAGGUGUUUCCUAGGCUGUUCAUUCCAGAUUUGAGCACUCUUUGGGAGUGUAUUGGCUUGCUUCCCAAACUGUCCAUGUGCUUCGUAAUCGUCAUGUAUGUAAUUUCAGCUUCAUUUUAUGUGUGAGGGAACAGAAGGACAUACAUUUAAAUUCUUAUUUUCUCAGCGCAUGGAACUUGAUAUUGCCUGCUAUCUGAGAGCAAAAAGUAGAAACGGGGUGUUGGAUUCAGUGUCAGAACCUCCUGUCCUCCCGGUUCUUCACAGGUUUCGCCAAAACUGGGUGAUUGGAUCUCCUUGAUUUUAUUAGUCCUGAUCAUGAUCCUAAGAGCGGAGAUGCUCAGAAGAAACAUAGGCGUUCAAAGAUAUUGCUGGCUGCUGAAAAUUCAAGCAGCGGCAGUGGAGGCGGAGGGGGAAGCGGCGGAGCAAAGUACAAAUUGAAGCCAACUCCGUACUAUAAAGAAGAUACACUUUUGCAUUGACGUUAACACAGAAAUUGUGUCAGAAAUGAAGAACACCGGACCAAAUGAAUGACCCAUCACCAGACUUGAUUCAAUCAAACAAUCCAUCCUUUUAUUCAUCCAUGCUAAACUCACCAUUAAUCCUGAUCAUCAUUUCGUCUUCACCUCUAUCUCAAAUUCAGCUGCUUGGGUACUCCAUUCCCUUCAAUUUAAUUUCUGCUUUGAAUUUGAUUAAUUAAUUGUUCAACUGUUUGAUGUUUUGUUUUAUCGAGGUGGGUAAUUUGAUGAUACUGUUCAGCUGCUCAAUAUUUAUUUUUCUGAUAAUUUUGUUACUUGAUUGUUUUGUUGAAUUUAUUGAGAACAUUUGACUAUUUGAGUAGUUUAUUUUCUGGGCACUGAAAUGCAGAUGGGAGAUUUUGAAUUUUCGACUGGUGGUCAUAACUGUUAUUACUUUGUGGCAUUCUAUCCUAUUGGGUGUAUAGUAGAGAGGAAAUUGAUGUAGACGGGAUUUACCAACUAAGCUAUUCUGCAGAUUCUCGCAUGGUUACUAGUGGCAAUAUUUUAUUCAUCAGACAUCUCAAUCAUCACCAUAACUUUCUAUCUUCUUCUGAGCAACUUAGGCGCCUCUAUAGCUGAGGUUGCUAAUGAUUCUAUGGUUUUCGAGAUUAGUAAACAACCUACUUAUUUAAAGAAAGAGCAAUCAUCUUCCUCAGGGGAGCUUCAGUCAUUUGUUUUGAUGGCUACUUCAGUUGGGGGAGUACUCGGGAAUUUAGUAGGAGGGGUUGCCAUUGUAAAGUUCAGCCCUCGAUUUAUGUUAUCAGAUUCUUUUUUUUUUCUUCCGAUUAUGUAAUUCGUUUAAGAUAAAACAAAAGAAUUAUGAAAUUUUGUGUUAUUUUUUAAAAUUGAUGAUUUGAUCUUGAUUUUACAGUAUACGCUUAAGGGGUCAAAUAUAUAUUUUUAUAUUCGCACGCAUCGCGUGCAUAUAAGACUAGUAUAUAUAAAAAGAACUAUUGCGACCUACUUGUUACUAUUAUGGGAUUGGCUCUUCCCUUAGGCCAUUGGGCGUACAUAAGAGAAAAAGAGAUAUGUUAUUAUUCUUUCUAAUUUUU